UACGGCGGAACACGAGAAAUUCCGUCGGAAUCCGCGGGGACCAUCCCGCAAGGCUAAAUACUCCCUAGUGACCGAUAGUGAACCAGUACCGUGAGGGAAAGGUGAAAAGCACCCCGGAAGGGGAGUGAAAUAGAUCCUGAAACCGUGUGCCUACAACAAGUCAAAGCUCGUUAAUGAGUGAUGGCGUGCCUUUUGUAGAAUGAACCGGCGAGUUACGAUUGCAUGCGAGGUUAAGUCGAAGAGACGGAGCCGCAGCGAAAGCGAGUCUGAAUAGGGCGAAUGAGUAUGUAGUCGUAGACCCGAAACCAUGUGAUCUACCCAUGUCCAGGUUGAAGGUGCGGUAAAACGCACUGGAGGACCGAACCCACGUACGUUGAAAAGUGCGGGGAUGAGGUGUGGGUAGCGGAGAAAUUCCAAACGAACUUGGAGAUAGCUGGUUCUCUCCGAAAUAGCUUUAGGGCUAGCCUCGGAAUUGAGAAUGAUGGAGGUAGAGCACUGUUUGGACUAGGGGCCCAUCUCGGGUUACCGAAUUCAGAUAAACUCCGAAUGCCAUUCAUUUAUAUCCGGGAGUCAGACUGCGAGUGAUAAGAUCCGUAGUCGAAAGGGAAACAGCCCAGACCACCAGCUAAGGUCCCAAAAUAUAUGUUAAGUGGAAAAGGAUGUGGGGUUGCACAGACAACUAGGAUGUUGGCUUAGAAGCAGCCACCAUUUAAAGAGUGCGUAAUAGCUCACUAGUCGAGUGACCCUGCGCCGAAAAUGUACCGGGGCUAAACAUAUUACCGAAGCUGUGGACUACACCAUUAGGUGUAGUGGUAGGAGAGCGUUCUAAGGGCGUUGAAGGUCGAUCGUGAGGACGGCUGGAGCGCUUAGAAGUGAGAAUGCCGGUAUGAGUAGCGAAAGACAGGUGAGAAUCCUGUCCACCGUAUGACUAAGGUUUCCUGGGGAAGGCUCGUCCGCCCAGGGUUAGU
rnacentral:rRNA from 1 species